GCCGUCCUUUGUUCUCGGGGGUGGCCGCCAUUCGACAAACGAACACGUGGCGGCGGCCAUUUUAAAACUCCCGAACAGCGGUGUUUUGCCGUCGAGUGCCUGGAACUAAAAUCGGACACUCGAGUAGGCGAACACCGCUGAGACCUCCACAGCCCUGGUCCGUUCGGUUCCAAACUACCGAACGGCCCCUCGUUCGGUAAAUAAAGAAUACCGAACGAGGGGAUUCAGGCGAACCCUCCCUAGCCUCUAUAGCUAGAGGCUUUCGUGUAUUUUAUUCCCUUAUGCCAGGACCGACCGCAAGGCCCAUUCCCAUGGAACCGAAUUCGGCUAUCUCUGUUCGUGCGGUCGGUCAUUUUAUUCCCUCCAUACUUUUCCCGAACCCCUGGUCCGAUCUGGGUGAUUUUUGGAUAUGUUGUUCACCCAGAUCAGGGCUAUCAGGGGGUGUAGGAUUUAAAGGGGUACCCCUACGUUUAGGGGUACAUCCAGAAACGGGGGGAAUUGGUG